rnacentral:rRNA from 1 species
CCUACGGGCGGCAGCAGUGAGGAAUAUUGGUCAAUGGGCUUACGCCUGAACCAGCCAAGUCGCGUGAGGGAAGACUGCCCUAUGGGUUGUAAACCUCUUUUGUCAGGGAGCAACGCCGGCUACGUGUAGCCGGACUGAGAGUACCUGAAGAAAAAGCAUCGGCGAACUCCGUGCCAGCAGCCGCGGUAAUACGGAGGAUGCGAGCGUUAUCCGGAUUUAUGGGGUUUAACGGGUGCGUAGGCGGACUGCCAAGUCAGCGGUAAAAUCGCGGGGCUCAACCUCGCUCCGCCGUUGAAACUGGCGUUCUUGAGUGGGCGAGAAGUAUGCGGAAUGCGUGGUGUAGCGGUGAAAUGCAUAGAUAUCACGCAGAACUCCGAUUGCGAAGGCAGCAUACCGGCGCCCAACUGACGCUGAAGCACGAAAGCGUGGGUAUCGAACAGGAUUAGAUACCCGGGUAGUC